GACGAACGCUGGCGGCGUGCCUAAUACAUGCAAGUAGAACGCUGAAGGAGGAGCUUGCUUCUCUGGAUGAGUUGCGAACGGGUGAGUAACGCGUAGGUAACCUGCCUGGUAGCGGGGGAUAACUAUUGGAAACGAUAGCUAAUACCGCAUAAGAGUAGAUGUUGCAUGACAUUUGCUUAAAAGGUGCAAUUGCAUCACUACCAGAUGGACCUGCGUUGUAUUAGCUAGUUGGUGGGGUAACGGCUCACCAAGGCGACGAUACAUAGCCGAGCUGAGAGGGUGAUCGGCCACACUGGGACUGAGACACGGCCCAGACUCCUACGGGAGGCAGCAGUAGGGAAUCUUCGGCAAUGGACGGAAGUCUGACCGAGCAACGCCGCGUGAGUGAAGAAGGUUUUCGGAUCGUAAAGCUCUGUUGUAAGAGAAGAACGAGUGUGAGAGUGGAAAGUUCACACUGUGACGGUAUCUUACCAGAAAGGGACGGCUAACUACGUG
rnacentral:rRNA from 1 species